GAUGAACGCUGGCGGCGUGCCUAAUACAUACAAGUCGAGCGAACGGACGAGAAGCUUGCUUCUCUGAUGUUAGCGGCGGACGGGUGAGUAACACGUGGAUAACCUACCUAUAAGACUGGGAUAACUUCGGGAAACCGUAGCUAAUACCGGAUAAUAUUUUGAACCGCAUGGUUCAAAAGUGAAAGACGGUCUUGCUGUCACUUAUAGAUGGAUCCGCGCUGCAUUAGCUAGUUGGUAAGGUAACGGCUUACCAAGGCAACGAUGCAUAGCCGACCUGAGAGGGUGAUCGGCCACACUGGAACUGAGACACGGUCCAGACUCCUACGGGAGGCAGCAGUAGGGAAUCUUCCGCAAUGGGCGAAAGCCUGACGGAGCAACGCCGCGUGAGUGAUGAAGGUCUUCGGAUCGUAAAACUCUGUUAUUAGGGAAGAACAUAUGUGUAAGUAACUGUGCACAUCUUGACGGUACCUAAUCAGAAAGCCACGGCUAACUACGUG
rnacentral:rRNA from 1 species